rnacentral:rRNA from 1 species
UACGUAGGGUCCGAGCGUUGUCCGGAAUUAUUGGGCGUAAAGGGCUCGUAGGCGGUUCGUCACGUCGGGAGUGAAAACUCGGAGCUUAACUCCGAGCCUGCUUCCGAUACGGGCAGACUAGAGGUAGGCAGGGGAGAGCGGAACUCCUGGUGUAGCGGUGGAAUGCGCAGAUAUCAGGAAGAACACCGGUGGCGAAGGCGGAUCUCUGGGCCUUGCCUGACGCUGAGGCGCGAAAGCUAGGGGAGCGAACAGG